rnacentral:tRNA from 1 species
UGCCUUGUUCGUCCAGUGGUCUAGGAUCUACCCCUGUCACGGGUGGGACCCGGGUUCGAAUCCCGGACAAGGCGU